rnacentral:tRNA from 1 species
GACAUCGUGGCCGAGCUGGUCUAAGGCGCUGUGUUCAGGUCGCAGUCCGAAAGGGCGCAGGUUCGAAUCCUGCCGAUGUCA